UUGCUUUGGCAGCACACAUACUAAAAUUGGAACGAUAUAGAGAAGAUUAGUAUGGCCCUUGUGCAAGGAUGACAUGCAAAUUCAUGAAGCGUUCCAUAUUAAA
ensembl:snRNA U6 U6 spliceosomal RNA